AGUGGGAUACCUGGAUUAAAUGGUGAUUACAUUCCAAGUUUUCUGAGGACUCUCCAUACUGCUUUCCAGAGUGGUUGCACCAAUUUAUAGUCCCACCAGGAAU
rnacentral:pre_miRNA from 1 species